rnacentral:rRNA from 1 species
UACGUAGGGGGCAAGCGUUGUCCGGAAUUAUUGGGCGUAAAGAGCGUGUAGGCGGUCCGGUAAGUCGGCUGUGAAAGUCCAGGGCUCAACCCUGGGAUGCCGGUCGAUACUGCCGGACUAGAGUUCGGAAGAGGCGAGUGGAAUUCCCGGUGUAGCGGUGAAAUGCGCAGAUAUCGGGAGGAACACCUAUGGCGAAGGCAGCUCGCUGGGACGUUACUGACGCUGAGGCGCGAAAGCUAGGGGAGCAAACGGG